GUGGGGAAUAUUGGACAAUGGGCGCAAGCCUGAUCCAGCCAUGCCGCGUGAGUGAUGAAGGCCCUAGGGUUGUAAAGCUCUUUCACCGAUGAAGAUAAUGACGGUAGUCGGAGAAGAAGCCUCGGCUAACUUCGUGCCAGCAGCCGCGGUAAUACGAAGGGGGCUAGCGUUGUUCGGAAUUACUGGGCGUAAAGCGCACGUAGGCGGAUAUUUAAGUCAGGGGUGAAAUGCCAGAGCUCAACUCUGGAACUGCCUUUGAUACUGGGUAUCUCGAGUAUGGAAGAGGUGAGUGGAAUUCCGAGUGUAGAGGUGAAAUUCGUAGAUAUUCGGAGGAACACCAGUUGCGACGGCGGCUCACUGGUCCAUUACUGACGCUGAGGUGCGAAAGCGUGGGGAGCAAACAGGAUUAGAAACCCUUGUAGUCC
rnacentral:rRNA from 1 species